UACGUAGGGUGCAAGCGUUAAUCGGAAUUACUGGGCGUAAAGUGUGCGCAGGCGGUUGUGCAAGUCAGAUGUGAAAUCCCCGGGCUUAACCUGGGAAUUGCAUUUGUGACUGCACGGCUAGAGUGUGUCAGAGGGGGGUAGAAUUCCACGUGUAGCAGUGAAAUGCGUAGAUAUGUGGAGGAAUACCGAUGGCGAAGGCAGCCCCCUGGGAUAACACUGACGCUCAUGCACGAAAGCGUGGGGAGCAAACAGG
rnacentral:rRNA from 1 species